UUCGCCUCUCCUAGGGUUGCCGCCGCCACCACACCUGCCUCCACCACGACUCCCCCUCUUUUCGCCGCCGCCGCCGCCCCCGUCCUUCCUCAUCGCCUCUUCCCGCCCCCUCCUCUGCCCAGUGAUGGUGGCCCCUCCUCCGCUGGCCCAUCUCCGUCGCCAGCAUCCUCCUCCCUCCCACGCCACCGACUAGAGCCAUGUGUGACGUCGUCGCCAUCGCCUAGCGCCUAGAGAUGGACGAGGACGCCGGUCGAAAGCAGCAGCAGCUAGACGGCAGGAAACAACAGCUCGCCUAUUCAUAGCUGAAAGGAACAAGGCGACUGGGAAGUCCUGGGCUACAUAUCCUUCAUUUCCUUGAUAUUCCUUCCAAAAUCUGAGGUAAUUGAUUUACUAAAUCCCAUAUGUGCUGACUUCUAAUGCUUCCGAACAUUUCUCGGUUUUAUGUGUCUGUUAGCUUUUACUGGAAACCUUGCUAUCCUUGUGCUUUACCAGUGUGAAGUUCAGCACUAUGGCUGCCAUUAUGUGUUGUCUAAUGGUCUGGUGGUCAGGAGUCAUGUGUGAUAUAGUUAUCAUUUCGACGCUUAAAGCUGAUCAUUUUGUAGGAAGAUGCCCUGGUUCUCGUCAAAUGCAAGUUGCACUACUGUCAAAGUGUACUCUAUUUUGCAGUGUCAUAACUUAGUGAAAGCAAGUGUGCUCUUGUCUAUGGGCAAAUGAAUGAGCCCCCGGGGUGGCCGUGCUCGUGUAGACCUGACUGGUUUGACUGUUGCUGGACAUUUUUGUGAUGCCAAAGGAUAAGAUGUGCUUGUCUAUUGAUUUUCCAUUUCACCCAGGCAAACUCUGACGUGUAUGCUUUUUUAUUCGGAUCAUAUAGUAUCAGAUGGCCUCCCAAGAAGACAUUAGCUAUUAUGAGGUGUUAAAGAUAGUAAGAUCUGCUUGACAAGCAAGGAAAAAGCUUAUAGGUUAAACAAUGUGUUCAAGUGUUGAUCCCUAUAUAUUGACCUAGGAAGUGAAGAUUGAACUAUAUGAAGUGGUCAUGGCAUUGGUUUGCUCCACCAAAUAUUCCCAAUAUGGCUGCCACACACAACCAAGUUAUGUACAGCUACAGGAGGGUGUGAUUGGCUAUGUUGAUGUGCUUGUUUUUCCUAUAUGCAGUUCCUACUGUACAGAAAGCAAAAGAAGCUGCUUUGUGGCGUAUGAUGCAGACUAUAAGACCAAAGCUACACCUCCCAUGAGAAAGCAUAUCAAGCUUGUCUAGAACACUGAGGAAAGUUCUGUUCAUGGUGAAAAUGUUGUGAUGCCUCCCGUUUGCGCCGCACGCCGCCGGCAUGGAGGCCCGGACUCGGGCUGCCUCCGCGAUGUCGAGUGUGCCGGCAAGGUCUAUGGGGACCGCGUGAGGGGGGGGGGGGGGGGGGGGCUGGCGCUGCUCCGGUUGUGGUUCGGCAACCUGCAGCUGCGUCGGGAGGAUGGCGGCGCCGCUGGUUUGGGAGCUGAAGCCGUGUGGCGAGGAUGGCGGUGGCGGAGGAGGAAGAGGGCGCCGGCGGCUUUCGGUCACAUGGGUCCAAUGUGCCGAAAAGGAGAGCAAGGAGACGGCAGCACCUUCUUCCUAUCUUCACCUAGUUAACCUUUGUGUAGUUUUUGGGUGAUGUAUGAUUUCUUCCUUCUAAAAGAUGCAUGGUAAUGUGCGAAAGCUUAAUCUGAAACUAAUUACACGGACGAGUGCUUUAAUUUGCUAGAUGUACGUGCUUCAGUUGUAGGAGAUGCAUGCCUUUUAUGUUCAUGUCAUUAUUUUUCUGUUGUCAAUUUAGAAUUUUCAGAGUUUACAUUUGACAAUAUCUUCUCCUGCCAUUGCCAUAUGGCUAUAUGAUUAUAACUCAUGUAUGAUUACAGAGUGCUAGCUACCUUUUAAACAUUGAAGCUUAGGAAAAAGCAUGUAAACAAAGACAGGAAGCUUACCUGUUUGAUUCAGCAGAUUUGAUUUGCUCUAUUCAUUAAGAUCUUUCUUUGUUGCAGGAGAACUUAGAGAUGUAACAUCAACGUGGUGGGCAUAGAUCAGAAAGGCAAGUUCUUGUCAAAGGAAAUCUUCACCUAGGUAAAGUCCAGUUCGAGGCCGGCCGCAACCACGACAUCGACGGCAUCCAUAACAAUCACGGAUCCUUCGACAUCUGGAUCGACCGCUGCUCCGUCGUCGACUACGACGACGAGCUCAUCGACAUCAUGCGCCAGAGCAUCGACAUCGCUUGUCUCCAGGUCGUCCCUUCUCUGUUAUUUGUCCCUGCUACUAAGUCACUCACAUGCUUGGUUUCUCUCAACAAGUAUCGUUGAUUACAUGGGAUCACUGUAUUGUGCUGAUGAAAAUAAACGUGUGUGUAUGUGAUUGCAUUUUUUGCAUGAUUGAUAUAUGAUGGUUGCUGACAAUGUACACUGGUAUGCAUGCAUUCUCCACGAACUUAGAAUUGGCACUCUCUUUUAGACCAGCUCUUCAUUCUUGUAUUUAAGUUGGUACUAAAUCUGGAAGAGGUUUAUUGUAGGUUGAUGUCUUUUCCAUCUCACAUUUUUCAUCCAUGUAAUACGAACAAAUGCACACGAUAUAGACGAGAAUUUUUUCAUGAGCUUCACCAGCCAUUUUACAGAAUAUACAAUGCUGUUUUCUUAUGCAUUUUAAUUAUAUUUACAGCUGUAAGUUUGUGAUGAUACAAACGAAAGUUGCAUACAGAGUUUCUUAUUUAUACUAUUGUUCUAUCCAUGCUUAACAUAUAAAAAUUUCUGUUAUGUUCAUACUACUUAACAGUCAGUAGUUUAGUCAUCUUACAAAAGUAGGCAGUACAUACUCAAAUCAUCAACUGGACACCAGAAAUAUUGACUUCUCUUUGCUCUUUCGUCAGCCAUUUUACUUGAGCAUUCAUAAAUUUGGGUCCUCAAGACGUGUAGUCAAUAACAGUACUUUGCUAUCACCAUUAAUAUCAUUAAUAUCCAUAGAACACGCUCUUAUCUUCCAUAUCACACAACAAUUUCUGUCCAUGUAAAUAACUUGCUUUCUUCUACCAGUAUUUUCAGUUUAAUAACUAUACUUGAAGAGAACCUGCUGGACUACAUUGAUCGAAACAAUGAUAUACACUCAUGGUCAGACUUGCAGACGGCCAUCUGCUCGCCGAAUGUCGCAUCAUGCUAGGAACUAAUAAGAGGGCCACUAUAACCACCAACUGGUCUGAGUUUCGUCGCUGCGUCAACAUUCACGAAAGAGACAUCUGUGCAUUCUGUUUCAGAUCACUUCAAAGUGCCGCCUUGUUGUCACCGUGCACUGCCUCUAGAUGCACCAUCGAAGACGCUACAACCCCUGUGUCAAUAUAAUCUAAUAUAAUGUAGCACUAAGUAUUCCUAAUUAUGCUAUAUCCUGUGAUAACUUAUGGUUUGCUUUUGGGCCCUCUUAUCACAUGCUUUUCAAGAUGCUAAACCUAUGUUGUUGCUUAUGUUAAGUGCACUAUUGUCAGUCAGAUGUUUCAU